GCAGACACAUUCCAGCCAAUCAGCAGCAGACCCUCCCUCCCAGAUCCUCCCACCUCCUGGACAGCUCACUAAGAAUGCAGCUUCAAAAUGGAUGCUGUCCAGGAGUUGGGAGGGUCUGGGAGGGAGGGUCUUCUGCUGAUUAGCUGGAAUGUGUCUG
rnacentral:miRNA from 1 species